UUUUGGAUAGUUUAAUUAAAAUAUUAAUUUUGGAGAUUAAAGUUAAGCCUCGCUUUCCAAAAA
rnacentral:tRNA from 1 species